CCUACGGGAGGCAGCAGUGGGGAAUAUUGGGCAAUGGGCGCAAGCCUGACCCAGCAACGCCGCGUGCAGGAAGAAGGCUUUCGGGUUGUAAACUUCUUUUCUCGCGGGCGAAAAAAGUGACGGUACCUGAGGAAUAAGCCACGGCUAAAUACGUGCCAGCGGCCGCGGUAAUACGUCGGUGGCAGGCGUUAUCCGGAUUUAUUGGGUGUAAAGGGCGUGUAGGCGGGAGCGCAAGUCAGAUGUGAAAACUCAGGGCUCAACCCUGAGCCUGCAUUUGAAACUGUGUUUCUUGAGUGCUUGGGAGGUAAUCGGAAUUCCGGGUGUAGCGGUGAAAUGCGUAGAUAUAAGGAGGAACACCAGUGGCGAAGGCGGAUUGCUGGACAGUAACUGACGCUGAGGCGCGAAAGCGUGGGGAGCAAACAGGAUUAGAUACCCGGGUAGUC
rnacentral:rRNA from 1 species